rnacentral:rRNA from 1 species
CGCGUAUCCAACCUUCCUAUAGUAGAGAAUAGCCCGGCGAAAGUCGGAUUAAUGCUCUAUGUUGUAUUUAGAGGACAUCUGAAGAAUACCAAAGGUUUUACCGCUAUAGGGAUGGGGAUGCGUCUGAUUAGGUUGUUGGCGGGGUAACGGCCCACCAAGCCCACGAUCAGUAGGGUUCUGAGAGGAAGGUCCCCCACAUUGGAACUGAGACACGGUCCAAACUCCUACGGGAGGCAGCAGUGAGGAAUAUUGGUCAAUGGACGCAAGUCUGAACCAGCCAAGUAGCGUGCAGGAUGACGGCCCUAUGGGUUGUAAACUGCUUUUAUACAGGGAUAAAGUGAGGGACGUGUCCCUUUUUGUAGGUACUGUAUGAAUAAGGACCGGCUAAUUCCGUGCCAGCCGCAGC